UGAUCAGGGAUUGGAGAACAAGGUUGCCACCUCUCCAUCCCACUGGCCCAGCCAGAAGUCCAUCAGUUGACUCUCAUCAGAAAGGAAUGUGGAAAACAUAGUUGUUUACAGAGUGCGACUGUGAGAAUUCAGCUACAGAGCUAUAAACAUCUCACAAAAUCUCACAUAAUAUGGCAACAGGAUAUAAAAAGGUUACGAAUUAAUGGGGCAGCAGAGUGAAACAGAGUAUUUAUAUAGCCUGCUUGGGCACUGGAACUUGGACUCCUCAGGGAAGUGGUCAUGGCAUAAAGUCUGACAGAGUUCAAGAAGCAUUUGGACAGUGUUCUCAGAUACUUGGUUUUGGGCUGGUGAUGGUGGUGCCCGGCUGACGGUGGGACUGAAUGACUUUGCUGGUCUCUUUGCACCCUGAAUUUGCUACUGGAGGCUUCAAAGACACUCAUGGAAACCAGUCUGGAGAAACAGGAGAAUGUAUGCAACUCAAAGUGUUAAGAGGCAUGAGACAAAGCAGCUGGACUUGAACA